rnacentral:lncRNA from 1 species
UGGAGGAUAUCAUAGAUACAUUUAAUAAAUUGUAUUGUAUUCAAUGGAGAUAAUUUAAAUACACAAUAUAAUUUAUUAAGACAUAUUUGCAGGUAUACAUUGAACAUGUUUUCUCCAACCAAGAAGGUUUGAUAUUGAAUGCUUUUUUUUUUUUUUUUUUUUUUUUUUUUAUCAAACUUCGAUCUGAUCAGUCUCGUAGAUUAUAAACGAGUAAUUCGUUUAUAGUUACACAUUGUUACUCUUCUAACGUCUUUUUCUUUGUGCUAUUAAAAAAAAACUCACAAUUUUCCACAUCAGAUCGACAUUUAUAUAUAUAUAUGAAUACUGGAAAUCUUUUUUCCGUCCGACACCACGCUCCCCACAAGAGCCCCAAGAUAUAAUCAUACCUGUCAAUCACUAGCCGCAAGUUGAACAUUUUGGCCAGCCUUCCUCGUGCUUUCAAUUAUGAUGACAUCGUUGCGAAUUUAUUUUUUUUAAAUUGACAUGUGAAAAGAAUAAAGUGAUGGGAAGUUUAUUUUACGACCUAUCAGAACUUCUUGUGAUUCUAAUAAGAUUUUUCUUAGGCCGCAUUUCUUUCUAACAAGAAUUUUGUAAACGUUGUGUCGCGUGUGUUACUGUUUUCUAAACGAUACACGAGUAGAAACAAAUACAUCGUUUGAUAAAUCUUUAAUGACCCUGUUUGAAUUUUCAAUAAUGCAUGCACAUGUUGUUGGUAAUCAGACUUUUUUACAAACGUAGAAACAAAUACUUCGUUUAAUCAGGUUGAAGUUAGAAACAAAUGCAGCGUUUGUACUAACAAACGACAAACUGCAGACGCAUUUUUAGUGUUUGCAUAGUUUGUCAAAGUUUAUGUAAACUUUG